rnacentral:rRNA from 1 species
AUGGAGUUCCUCAAGAUGCUAUCAAGUGCAUGCUGUUCUCAUUCUCUCUCUGGGAUGAUGCUCGUGCUUGGUAUCGAUCCUUGCCAUCAAGAUCAUUCAGUUGGAACGAGAUAUCACAAGCUUUCUUGGAUAAAUAUUUCCCACUACAUAAGUAGUCCGCAAUUCGAGAUGAGAUCCUCAGCUUCGUUCAGCGUGAAGGCGAGAGCUUGUAUGAUGCUUGGGAGAGAGCUGCAGUUAGUUGUUUUUGAUAUUGAGGAGUCACCUUUAGUUGAUAUUGAUCAUGUGCUGCUAGAGCCAGAUAUGGAGAAGUUCACCUUCGAUGAUGUUAGCCGCAUUGCUUCCUCAACACUUGAGCCUGAGAUGGAGAGCUUCAUGGUUGAGUAUGGUGAGGUGGAUUCAGAUGUCAAGGAGCCAAGCUCUACUAUUUCACUUGUUGACACGAGUCCGGUUGAAAUUUCUACUACCACACCUCACUUGGUAUCUUCAAUUGAGGUAGUUCUGAAGCUUCUUCCUAACUAUCUCAAGUAUGAUCUUAGCUUUCUGGACAAGACAUGUCAUAUCGCUGAUAUUGCCUAUGCCCCAUGUGACUUGUUGUUGAUACAUGUUCCUGAUUUGAUCAAUAGAUAUACUUAUAUGAUAGGGUACUCUAUCGAUGACUUAGAGGGCAUUCUCUCUGUCACUUGUAUUGGCUUGGUUGUUGAGUGUGCUUUCAGGUUUUUGCUUGUGCACGAUCCAUUACAUGCUGACCAGGUUCGAGGUGACAUUCCUUGGGACCCUGGUGGACUCAGAGCAUGGGGAUGA